UACAGGGGGGGCAAGCGUUGUUCGGAUUUACUGGGCGUAAAGGGCGCGUAGGCGGUCAGCACAAGUCAGUUGUGAAAUCUCCGGGCUUAACUCGGAAAGGUCAACUGAUACUGUGCGACUAGAGUGCAGAAGGGGCAACUGGAAUUCUCGGUGUAGCGGUGAAAUGCGUAGAUAUCGAGAGGAACACCUGCGGCGAAGGCGGGUUGCUGGGCUGACACUGACGCUGAGGCGCGAAAGCUAGGGGAGCGAACGGG
rnacentral:rRNA from 1 species